CACGGGGGGAGCAAGCGUUGUUCGGAAUCACUGGGCGUAAAGGGCGUGUAGGCGGUCAGGUAAGUGGGAUGUGAAAUCCCUCGGCUCACCCGAGGAUCGGCAUCCCAAAGUGCUUGGCUUGAGUAUGGGAGAGGAUGAGGGAAUUCCUGGUGUAGCGGUGAAAUGCGUAGAUAUCAGGAGGAACACCGGUGGCGAAGGCGCUCAUCUUGCCCAAUACUGACGCUGAGGCGCGAAAGCUAGGGGAGCAAUCGGG
rnacentral:rRNA from 1 species